AUGUACCACUCGUACACUGCGGUUCCUGCGCGCUGUCCGCGCCCACCUGACGGCCGCUCGCUACGUUUUGUUAGCC
rnacentral:sRNA from 2 species